rnacentral:tRNA from 1 species
GGUCUUCAUAGCUCAGUUGGUGGAGCUCUGCAGCGCUAACGCAGAAGCCAUGGGUUCGAAUCCCGUUGAAGCCC